rnacentral:rRNA from 1 species
UACGUAGGGGGCAAGCGUUGUCCGGAUUUAUUGGGCGUAAAGAGCGUGUAGGCGGUCUGGUAGGUCCGUUGUGAAAACUCGAGGCUCAACCUCGAGACGCCGAUGGAAACCCUCAGGCUAGAGUCCGGAAGAGGAGAGUGGAAUUCCUGGUGUAGCGGUGAAAUGCGCAGAUAUCAGGAGGAACACCGGUGGCGAAGGCGGAUCUCUGGGCCAUUACUGACGCUGAGGAGCGAAAGCGUGGGGAGCGAACAGG